GACGAACGCUGGCGGCGUGCUUAACACAUGCAAGUCGAACGGAAAGGCCCUGCUUUUGUGGGGUGCUCGAGUGGCGAACGGGUGAGUAACACGUGAGUAACCUGCCCUUGACUUUGGGAUAACUUCAGGAAACUGGGGCUAAUACCGGAUAGGAGCUCCUGCUGCAUGGUGGGGGUUGGAAAGUUUCGGCGGUUGGGGAUGGACUCGCGGCUUAUCAGCCUGUUGGUGGGGUAGUGGCUUACCAAGGCUUUGACGGGUAGUCGGCCUGAGAGGGUGAACGGCCACAUUGGGACUGAGAUACGGCCCAGACUCCUACGGGAGACAGCAGUGGGGAAUAUUGCACAAUAGGCGGAAGCCUGAUGCAGCAACGCCGCGUGCGGGAUGACGGCCUUCGGGUUGUAAACCGCUUUCGCCUGUGACGAAGCGUGAGUGACGGUAAUGGGUAAAGAAGCACCGGCUAACUACGUG
rnacentral:rRNA from 1 species